CCCCUAGAUGUUCUGGACCGCACGCGCGCUACACUGAACAGUUCAACAAGUCUUAACCUUGGCCGAUAGGUCUGGGUAAUCUUUGAACGCUGUUCGUGAUUGGGAUAGACCUUUGCAAUUAUGGGUCUUCAACGAGGAAUUCCUAGUAAACGCAAGUCAUCAGCUUGCAUUGAUUACGUCCCUGCCCUUUGUACACACCGCCCGUCGCACCUACCGAUUGAAUGGUCCGGUGAAAUCUCGGGACGGCGGCUUGGUCGCUUGCGUCCGACUGCUGAAACUUGAUUAAACCAUAUCAUUUAGAGGAAGGUGAAGUCGUAACA
rnacentral:rRNA from 1 species